UGGUGGAGUGAUUUGUCUGGUUUAUUCCGUUAACGAACGAGACCUCAGCCUACUAAAUAGUUGGGUUAUUCUACGGAAUGAUUAUCAACUUCUUAGAGGGACUUUUGGUGUUCAGCCAAAGGAAGUUUGAGGCAAUAACA
rnacentral:rRNA from 1 species